GACGAACGCUGGCGGCGUGCUUAACACAUGCAAGUCGAGCGGACAGGCCCUGCUUUUGUUGGUUUCUCGAGUGGCGAACAGGUGAGUGACACAUGUGUAACCUGCCCUUGACUGUGUGGUAACUUCAGGAAACUGGGGCUAAUACCCGGUAUGAGAUACUGCUGCGUAGUGGGGGUUGGAAAGUUUCGGCGGUUGUGGAUGGACUCGCGGCUUAUCAGCUUGAUUGUGGGGUAGGUGAUUACCAAGGGUUUGACGGGUAGCCGGCAUGAGAGGGUGACCGGGGACAAUGGGACUGAGAGACGGCCCAGACUCGUACCGUAGGCAGUAGUGGGGAACCUUGCACAACGGGCGGAAGCCUGUGGCAACAAUGUUGCGUGCGGGAUGACGUCCUUUGGGUUGUAAACCGCUUUCGCCGUUGAUGAAGCGUGAGUGACGGUAAUGGGUAAAGAAGCACCGGCUAACUACGUG
rnacentral:rRNA from 1 species